GGCAUCAGAGGAUGAAAGCUUGAAACAAUCUUAGGACACCUUCUGACACAGCGCGUUACAUCACGUUGUGAAUGAGAAGGCAAUUCUUUUCUGAUGAUGCU
rfam:Zea mays cultivar B73 chromosome 5, whole genome shotgun sequence.